GACGAACGCUGGCGGCGUGCUUAACACAUGCAAGUCGAACGGAAAGGCCCUGCUUUUGUGGGGUGCUCGAGUGGCGAACGGGUGAGUAACACGUGAGUAACCUGCCCUUGACUUUGGGAUAACUUCAGGAAACUGGGGCUAAUACCGGAUAGGAGCUCCUGCUGCAUGGUGGGGGUUGGAAAGUUUCGGCGGUUGGGGAUGGACUCGCGGCUUAUCAGCUUGUUGGUGGGGGAGUGGCUUACCAAGGCUUUGACGGGUAGCCGGCCUGGGAGGGUGACCGGCCACAUUGGGACUGAGAUACGGCCCAGAGUCCUACGGGAGGCAGCAGUGGGGAAUAUUGCACAAUGGGCGGAAGCCUGAUGCAGAAACGCCGCGUGCGGGAUGACGGCCUUCGGGUUGUAAACCGCUUUCGCCUGUGACGCAGCGUGAGUGACGGUAAUGGGUAAAGAAGCACCGGCUAACUACGUG
rnacentral:rRNA from 1 species